rfam:Amblysomus hottentotus prion protein (PRNP) gene, partial cds.
CCAAGGAGGUGGAGGCUGGGGACAGCCUCAUGGAGGUGGCUGG